rnacentral:lncRNA from 1 species
CUCAACAUAUAUGCUCUCUAAUAGAGUUCCAGUACAUCUAAGAUGGAUUCCUCCUGCAAUAAAUUUUUACAAACUAAAUACGAAUAGGGCAACUUCUUUCGAGACUGACAGAGAUGGAAUUGGGGGGGGGGGGGGGCAGAGUUAUUAGAAAUCACAAGGGUGAGUGGAUGGUGGGAUUCGCUGGCCCAAUUCCUCAUAUGAACUGUCUAUCUGCUGAAUUACAAGCACUCAUCAAAGGCUUAAGUCUAGCAGCACAACUGAGACUGCUACCACUUCAAGUGGAAAUAGAUGCAAAAGAGGUAAUUACACUUCUGGAUAACCAAAAUUCUAAGUAUUCUAACUUAAUUUUGGAUUGCAGGUACCUCCUGGGGACACUCCAUGAUCCAGUAGUCACCCAUGCGUACAUGGAACAGAAUUAUGUAACAGAUAAUCUUGCAAAGCUAGGAAGUAGGAUUCCACCUGCUGCUGCAUUGCGCAUUUUUGUUGAACCACCUUUUUGUGUUACAAAACAAGUGUUAGAAGACCAGCGAGGAUUCACAUCCCAGUGCAUGGUUCCACCUACAGCAGUACAACAGCUGGAUGAUGAAGACGACAAUAGAUGUUUUGUUACUAACAAUGUACCUAAGGAAACUGCUACUAUUUAUUUUGAGAGCUUUAGUAGUAAAAGUGCAGUCCAUGCUACUUUGGAGGAUCGUCAAUGUGACAUUACUAGAGGCGAUACCUCAUAUCGUUAUGCAUGUACGGAUAGUAUACCUAAUAGUAUAGCUAGCACUAGCACUUGUAAUAUGAUACAUGAGCAUCACAACCCUGUACGCAUGUUUUAAUAUAUGUUACUUACCUUUCCUACCAAAAACAAAAACUGCUAUAACAAGUAGGUGACCUGAUAGUGUAAAAAUUCAUAAACUCAUUGUUUAAUUAUAACAUCUACAUCUUGUGGCGAUUCAGAUCUUACUAUUUCUGUAGUUGGAAAGUUUCUAUCAUAUCUCAACUUCCCUUCCUAAUCGUUCCUUUCUCUUUCUAUUUUUCAUCAAUGUUAAUUAUGACCAUUCCCAUAGUGGUCUGGAGGAUUUAACUGGUUUAAUUUAGUCAGCGGAAAAUAUGAUAUAUUACCUCUGUCUCAAUUUAUGUGAACUUGUUUGACUGGACACGUAGUUUAAGAAAAAAAUGACGACUUUUGGAAUUGAAGUAAAAAAUGAGUCUAGAGUAUUUGUGUGGUAAUAAAAGCUUCUCAUUAAGGGUAGAAUUAUAAAUUUAAGUUAAAUUAUUUUCAAAUUUAGAAGGGGUCAUUCUUUUUUUAAGGGACAAAAAAAAUAGGUUCACAUAAACUAGAGGGGUAGUCUUUUAUAGUAGUUGCUAACUAUUUAUGCGUUAUAAGAAAAUUUAAGAUUUAGUCGUUAUAGUUGUUGACGGAACAUCACGACAAAGAUGUUUAAAAAUUCACCAUUGUUUACUUGGUACUGCAGAAGCCUAUUCCACACUGAUUCAAACAAAUUUUCAUCUAUAAAUAGGCACACCUCUCUGAUCAUACUUCUCACAGAUAAACAAAUUGUUUCAAUAUAUAUACAGAGUUUUCCCUAAUUUGCAAUGGCUCGCAAGUUGUUUGUAUUAACCGUUGCCAUUUUGGCUGUUGUCUUUUCAAUAAGCCAUGCAUAUGACCCUAGUCCUUUACAAGAUUUUUGUGUUGCUGUUAACGACUCUAUGGCUGCUGGUAAAUUAUUGAACUACGAAUUUGAUUGUUUGUUUUUCACUUGUAUUUGUUGUUAUUUUCACUUACUAAUUAUGAUUUUUACGCAGUUUUCGUGAAUGGAAAAAUAUGCAAGGAUCCGAAGGUUGUCAAUGCUGAUGACUUCUUCAAAUCAGGCCUAAACAUACCUGGAAAUACUUCAAAUCAAGUCGGAUCAGCUGUAACUGCUGUGAACGUCGGCAACUUGCCUGGACUCAACACUCUGGGCAUUUCGUUAGUUCGUAUUG